rnacentral:rRNA from 1 species
ACUCCUACGGGAGGCAGCAGUAGGGAAUAUUGGGCAAUGGUCGGAAGACUGACCCAGCCAUGCCGCGUGCAGGAAGACGGCCUAUUGGGUUGUAAACUGCUUUUAUCUGGGAAGAAAAGGGCCAUGCGUGGCAAAUUGCCGGUACCAGAUGAAUAAGCACCGGCUAACUCCGUGCCAGCAGCCGCGGUAAUACGGAGGGGUGCAAGCGUUGUCCGGAUUUAUUGGGUUUAAAGGGUGCGUAGGCGGCUGAUUAAGUCAGCGGUGAAAGACUCCGGCUCAACCGGAGCAGUGCCGUUGAUACUGGUUAGCUUGAGUGCUGCAGGGGUACAUGGAAUUGAUGGUGUAGCGGUGAAAUGCAUAGAUACCAUCAGGAACACCGAUAGCGAAGGCAUUGUACUGGGCAGCAACUGACGCUGAGGCACGAAAGCGUGGGGAUCGAACAGGAUUAGAUA